UUAUUUGGACCAAUUUUUCACCAAAUCACCAGCACCAUGACAGAUAAAAUGCAGACGUCCUCACCCGCACACACCUCACAACAACAAAACACCACCACUGCUGCAGGGAAAAAUACUGAUAAUAACAGGACAAACACAUCAAUCUCAUCCACACUCACCACAACACAACAACAAAUCACCAGCACCAUUACAGGUAAUAGUGCAUUUUAUUUUAUUUUAUUUUA